UGUUUAUAAACCGAAUAAUGUUGUACUUUUGGCAACUAGAAAUAUUGGGGAAUCGUGUGUAAAUCACGAACUGUCGCGCAACUGUAAGUAAUUUCUAAUUACAAAGUCAGAUUACCAAUACUUAUAAGAUCAUACUU
rfam:Chishuiella changwenlii strain DSM 27989 genome assembly, contig: Ga0131172_108